AGGAUCAUUUGCAAUGGGGGCAACCCUGACGAUGCGACGCUGCGUGGAGGAUGAAGGCCUUCGGGUCGUAAACUCCUGUCAUGACGGAAAAGGAGAGGGGCGCCAACACCGCCCUCAUUUGAUGGUACGUCAAGAGGAAGAGACGGCUAACUCUGUGCCAGCAGCCGCGGUAAUACAGAGGUCUCGAGCGUUGUUCGGAUUUACUGGGCGUAAAGGGCGCGUAGGCGGCGCGGCGUGUCGAGUGUGAAAUCUCCGGGCUCAACCCGGAAAGUGCGCUCGAAACUUCCGCGCUCGAGUGCGGGAUGGGGAAUCGGAAUGCAGGGUGUAGCGGUGAAAUGCGUUGAUAUCCUGCAGAACACCGGAGGCGAAGGCGGAUUCCUGGAACGCAACUGACGCUGAGGCGCGAAAGUCGGGGGAGCAAACA
rnacentral:rRNA from 1 species